rnacentral:rRNA from 1 species
UACAGAGGGGGCAAGCGUUGUUCGGAAUUACUGGGCGUAAAGGGCGCGUAGGCGGCCUGUUAAGUCGAACGUGAAAUCCCCGGGCUCAACCCGGGAAUUGCGCGCGAAACGGGGGGGCUUGAGUUCGGGAGAGGAGCGUGGAAUUCCCAGUGUAGAGGUGAAAUUCGUAGAUAUCAGGAGGAACACCUGUGGCGAAAGCGGCUCACUGGACCAUUACUGACGCUGAGGCGCGAAAGCUAGGGGAGCAAACAGG